UACAGAGGUGCCAAGCGUUAGGCGGAAUCACUGGGCUUAAAGCGCGCGUAGGCGGAUGUUUAAGUGUCUUGUGAAAUCCCACGGCUCAACCGUGGAACUGCUGGGCAUACUGGACAUCUCGAGGCACUCAGGGGCGAGCGGAACAAGUGGUGGAGCGGAUGAAAUGCGUAGAUAUCAUUGGAACGCCAAUGGUGAAAACAGCUCGCUGGGGGUUUGCUGAACGCUGAG
rnacentral:rRNA from 1 species